rnacentral:misc_RNA from 1 species
GAUGAAGAACGUAGUGAAAUGCGAUAAGUAAUGUGAAUUGCAGAAUCCAGUGAAUCAUCGAAUCUUUGAACGCACAUUGCGCCCGCCAGCAUUCUGGCGGGCAUGCCUGUUCGAGCGUCAUUUCAACCCUCGACCUCCCCUUGGGGAGGUCGGCGUUGGGGACCGGCAGCACACCGCCGGCCCUGAAAUGGAGUGGCGGCCCGUCCGCGGCGACCUCUGCGUAGUAAUACAGCUCGCACCGGAACCCCGACGCGGCCACGCCGUAAAACACCCAACUUCUGAACGUUGACCUCGAAUCAGGUAGGACUACCCGCUGAACUUAAGCAUAUCAUAAGCGGAGGGA